rnacentral:tRNA from 2 species
GGAGGUUUAGCUCAGCUGGAGGAGCAUCUGCCUAACAAGCAGAGGGUCAGCGUUGCGAUCCCGUUAACCUCCA